AAGAGAAACAGAAAGCGAGAGAGAUGGUGAGAGAGAGAGUGCGAGAGAGAAAUAGUGAGAAAAGAGAGAGACAAAAGGAGAGAGAGACACAGCUUUAUUUAUUUUACUAAGAUUAAAGGGUCUUGUGCUCAGUAGUUUAAAAGUGUCAGGUCCACCUCCAGAGAACUCCUCCCACUUUCACAGGUACUGUUAUACGAUCAGAAACAUACAGAGUACAGAGGGUUCUGGAUUUCCAGGUGUUAUGGAGACACGUGGGAACUCUGUAUAUCCUUCUUCUAACAAGCUGGACGCUGUUUAGUUCAGAAGAACGGCCAUGUUAAAGAGAGAACAAUCGAACAUAUACAUUUCAUUUGAGCAGCAAGCCAAAGACCGUGAUAGACACAAUGCCUUAUAAUAACAUAAUAAUAACAACGUAACUCUCUUGGCACUCACACACACACACACACACACACACACACAGACACAGAGUGCUUGGAGCAGACCGUGCUGGUUAUCAGACUCCGCACUGCCAAUUUUCCAUUAACACUUCAUUCCUUUCACACAUGAGCAACAGCACGGGCCAGUGUUGCCAAAACAAUUACAUGAGAACCUGAUGACUCGCUACAUUGUGUGUGUACACACACACACACACACACACACACACACAACAAUGCACACACACACACAUAACCAUGCAUGCGCACACAUUUUUUCCGGUGACUGAGCUAUAAAGAAAUGAAACACAGAGAGCUUAAUGAGAUGAAAGUUGGCCGGUUGCUGAAAUGCCGGUUACCUAGCAACUAAACAGCUAAAACCCCAUCUGUGUGUGAGGGCAGAGGGAAACCCUGCCCCCUUGCAUGAAGCUUCCUCUCUAAUGUCCAAAGGCUUUACAUGUAAUGCUGUGUGAACACAGCGUGCACUGUGUGAAGACAAAUGCAGCUUAUUAGCAAGAAACCAAAAGGAGAACUUCUCUGAAGAUGCCGGAAAACUUAGAGAAAAGUCCGAGCGGUUUCAAAGCGCUGACGCUGGAGACUCCUUCCAUAAAUGGUGGAUUUGCAACCACAUGGUUGCUAUCUGUGACCUUUGUUCUUCAAUCCACCUCUGGUCAAUCCAGAGGUGGAUUGACCUCCACCUCUGUGUGUCUCCUGUAGACGGAUUCUCCCAUACUUCUCCAAUGGAUGAUGGAAGAGCUGCUUCUUCAGAUGUCAGGGUUUUCCAAACUUUUUGUGCGUGUGCGUUUGUCUUCUUAAUGUCUGUUUCAAAAACAUCCACUUGAAGUUGCUCACAUUUUUUGAGAAACCGUGUGACAUGCGAUGAUAACCUUGAGUGCUUUUGAAUAAAGAAAGCAGGAGGUGUGUAUGUGUGUGUAAGCAUCGAGAAGCCGCAUGCUGGAGCACUGUACUGCUUCUGGCCUCGAGAGAAACCCAGAAAGAUAUUUAUAGCUUGCUCCGCCCCCAGCUGCACAUUUCCACACCCCCCCUCCUGCCUUGGGGCAAUUAGCACCAGCAAGCCCAUGAAGCCUGGUAAACAUUCUAACGUCCUCAGUGCCAACUGAUGUCUGGAUACGGGCCAUCCUGAGUGAUCAAAGAGGAAGAGAAGGCAAGAGGGAAGAAAAGAGAGAGAAAGAGAUCCACCAUGAAAACAAGCAGAGUGUUAAUGUCACUCCUUCCUAGUCCACCUGAUCCAACAGAUAAAGACGUGCGCACUUGAAGGAAUUGUUUAGCGAAAAAAAAAGGUAUAUAUAUAAAAAAAAAGAAUUUAUACAUCGUCGUUACAUGAUAAUCAAACAUCAGUUUGACAAAGAUGUGUUCUUGGUGGAUGGAGACAGAGGGAAUGAGCAAAAACGUGUUUGCAGGGUUACCUGUGUUAAAUAGGCCUUAGUGUACGAAGUGAAUCAUUUCAAAAUAUUCAAUUUACAAAGCAUUAGCGUACAUGUGUUUUUACUAAUCACUCUGCGGCAGGAGUCACACUCCGUUGCUCAAACAGCACUAACUCACUUUCCACGUGAUCAUUUUGGUAUCAGGCCUAAGGACAAUAAAGCAAUUGAGUUAUGAGACUGAAAGUGUGCACUGGAUGUUCUGCACUACGUUUUUGGACAAUUAAAUUGCACAGCCCCAAAAACAGCAUACUAACAAUGUAAAAAUGUAAACAAUCAAAAUCAAAACAGAUUAAGGACAAAACCAGAAUCAGAUUCAGAACAGAAUAAAAAACAAAAAACAGACUCAGAAUCAAAACAGAAUAAGGAUCAGGUUAAGAAUAAAACUAAAUAAGAAUCAGAAGAAUAGAGAAUAAGAACAGAAUAAGGAUCGAAACAGAAUAAGAACAAAACAGAAUAAGAAUCAAAACAGAAUAAGAAUCAGAAUCGAAUCUGAUUCCGAACAGAACCAGAAUCAAAACUAGAAGAAUCAGAAUCGAAUCUAACAGAAUAAGAAUCAGAACAGAAGAAGAAUCAGAAUCGAAUCUGAUUCAGAACAGAAUCAGAAUCAAAACAGAAUAAGAAUCAGAAUCGAAUCUGAUUCAGAACAGAAUAUGAAUCAGAACAGAAGAAUCAGAAUCGAAUCUGAUUCAGAACAGAAUCAGAAUCAAAACAGAAUAAGAAUCAGAAUCGAAUCUGAUUCUGAACAGAAUCAAAACCGAUUCAGAACAGAAACAAAAUCAGACUAAAAACAGAAUCAGAUCAGAAUCAGAAUUAAAACAAAAUAUGAAAAAAAACAGAAACAAAAUUAUAGAUAAAACAGAAUCAAAAGAAUCAGAAUCACUUUAUUGGCCAGGGACACUUGCAUGUACUACGAAUUUCUCUCAGUAGAGUUGAUGUAGCAAAGCUUGACAAAUAUAUAAAUAUAUAAAUAAGACAAAACCCUAACGCAAAUGCAAAUAUUUUAAACGAUACAAAUAAUACAGUGCAACACAAACAAUACAGACAAUACAACAAUUAUUUCUGGCCCUUCCUAAGUUUGAAGGUGCAAUCUUUCCGAGAGUGAUGCUGAUGAGAAUGUACUUCCACUAUCGAGUAGCUCCAGUGACAAAACUGUUUAAAAAAAAAAAAAGAAAUGAAAAAAGAAAAAAAGAAAAAAUCACCAAACAUGUCCUGGCUGAUCGAGUACAUCAGGUAUCAAUUUGAUAUUCUGUCCAUCCACUGAUUUAACAUACGUCAAAUUUCUUCGUCCAGAAACUCGAACGGAGUGUGUGCUCGUCUUUCCAUCCUAAUUGCUUUUAAUAUCAGGCCAGGGUCAAUUAAAUCUGGCCCAUUAUGAUUACACUACUUGAUUAGUCUCUAUUACUCUGGGUGAUCUGGAAGAAAGAGAUGGAGAUGCAGGGAAAGAACAGAGACCCUGAGACAAAGAGAAUGAUAUUCAAAAAUACGGCAGCAGUGCAUUGUGGACGACGUGCAUAAAGACAAACAGCGGCGAGUGGAGAUAAAGUCAAAUGUGCAGAGGAGGAAACAAGGCUGACUCAUUAACGCUGUAGUCCCUGUAGCAGCCGAGUGAAGCUGCAAGGACAAACAGCAGAGGAGGCUCGGGUCAAGACCCAAAAAAAAGAAAAAGCUUACGUGAGAAAACGAGAUGCGCUUCUCUAGAGGCGCAGAGGGACAAUAUUUAUUCUGACAUAAUGAUAUGUGAAAUGAGAUUGAUCAGAGCGGCCGUGAGAAUCAAUUAGCCCCGGGGAUGAAACGGUAAGAUUUUAAUCAUAAACUCAGGCCCUCACUGCUCUCUGACCAGACAGAGCUAAAACAGAGGGAAAGAAAAUGAUGCAAUGGAAUGAAAACUUGUGUUUAUCCUGCGUACAGGAAAUAAUCAAACGCUUUACUACCUAACUCUUUGGACCAGAGGAGAGGUGUGAAAAAUUCAGGGUUAAUAACGGUACAGCCCAAUAUCACCCUUUUCAGAACAGCACAAAUUCACAAUUACACCUCCUUCACUGUGACGAACAGAUAAAGAAGCCACGUCUUUUUCACUGGGAAGAAGAGGCACUAAGGACACAGUCCUUUACUGGGAUGGAGAGACACACAAGCUGCACCUCUUUCAUUAUGAUGGAGAAAUACAGCGGCCACACCUUCUUCACUAGGACUGAUAGAUACAGAGACAAACACCUCCUUCAUUGGGAAACAGAGGCCACACCUCCUUUACUAUAGAGAAGAACAGAGGCCACACCUCCUUUACUAUAGAGAAGAACAGAGGCCACACCUCCUUUACUAUAGAGAAGAACAGAGGCCACACCUCCUUUACUAUAGAGAAGAACAGAGGCCACACCUCCUUUACUAUAGAGAAGAACAGAGGCCACACCUCCUUUACUAUAGAGAAGAACAGAGGCCACACCUUCACUAUAGAGAGCAGAUGCCACACGUCCUUCACAGUGGAGAAGAACACAAGCCACACCUCCUUCACUAUGGAGAAGAACACAAGCCACAACCUCCUUCACUAUGGAGAAGAA